rnacentral:lncRNA from 1 species
UCUCCUGGUACAAGACCUGGCUCUCCACCCAAACCUCCCUUUCCCUGAGGGCUAUGGAGAUGAAGCUUAAUCUUUAAUGAACUGGUUUUCAGUUUAACUGCUCUUUUGGUAAUGAUUAAUACCUCAGUGAUCCUGACGACGACUGACCCAUGAGAGUGUUCGUGGCUUCCCAGGCCUAGGUAUAGCUCAUGUACGGAUGAGUGAGAUUCAAAGGGUUGCCCCUCCUCAAAGCAUCUCUUCUGUCCUGCCAUUAGAUUGUCACUCUUCAGAAGGAGGAUGUGAUAAAUAGCUCUGAUCAUAGGAGCUAGCAAGUGCUGAGCUGUGUGGGUGCAGACCAUCAGAUAGACCCCAGCUUGUGCAGGGAGAAGAGCGGUGAUGAAGAGGCUGGUGGAGGCGGUCUGGCUUUGGAUCCAACACCCCACUAUAAAUACCUAGUGUUCAGAAGCGCUGGGAGAAAGAUCUGGCAACUGGAGGUGGCCACCAAGUGGACAGACAGGAAAGAGCAGGCUGCCCUGCUGCUCUGUGGUGUGCACUGAAGGGUGAUGCUUUUUUGCCAUUUUGAAUCCAUAAAAAGAAGUCAAACUUGCAAAAUACUCAAGUGAACUCAGGAGAACACGAGAGAGGCAAGCAAAUGGAAACCAUCCAAACUGAUUCAGAGUGAUGAAGGCAGCGAGCCACAUAAUGGGGUGUGGAAAGAUAUAAGACUGGUGGAAACGGGCCUAAAAUAUUCAGAUUAUAUCCACAGAAAGAGAAAAAUCGUGUGAAGAGAAAAUGGAGGACAGUUUCCCAAAAAUUUAUGUUCUGUAAAUAGGAUCAUACAGUAUGUACUUAAAAAAAAGAUUUUAUUUGGCUUUUUUCACCCAGCAUACUUAUUUUGAAAUUCAUUCAGGUUGUUUUGUGUACCCCUAAGUUCAUUUCUUUUUGUUACUGAGUAGUGUAACGUCGGAUGUGCAUGCCAGUUUGGCUGCCCAUUCACCUGUUGAUGGACAUUUUUCUUAUUUCCACUUUAUAGCUAUUAAAAAU